rnacentral:lncRNA from 1 species
GAGUUUAUGCUGGCUUCAGACAAGCAAGCAAGGAAAAGGGCAAAUCCUUCCUCCCUCCCUUAAAAUACACAGUAUCGGAACCCGCGGGAAGCCGGAGCCCAUUUCAAAGAUUAUGUGAUUUGGUGCCUGGAAGUCAUUACUGGAAAUUUGGCUCUAAGUGAGCUGGCAGUAUCCAGGAAAAUGAUCUUGGGUAUACAGGUAAAUAGAAAUUAUAGCUCUUCAGUGACAGCAAGAGUCAUCAUGAUUUUUUUUUUAGAGUUGUUGAUGACUCAAAUACCACCGAAACAGCUGGAAAUGGCAGCACCUGAAAUGGAAAAAACAAGAGCUGAAAGUUUAUUUUGAAUGAGAGGCAUUGUCCAACUCUGAGACUGAAUGAUGGCAGCUGAGAGUAAGUGCAAGCACAAUCAAUAAUGACUCCAGGUAUGAAAUUAUUCAGAAUCUCUCUUGUUUUCCAUGUUUUUCUCCUGCUACAUUCACAAUGUAUCUGUUCACCGCAAUACUAUCUGUGGAGGAGGAAAAAAUUUCCUCAGUUUAGUUGUUCUUAAUGAUAGCUUUUGAGCUGUCCUGAUUUGAAAUUACAGUGAUAGAAGGGGCUGUUUCAGAUAAAAGAAACAAUGUAUUCCAAAGCCAAAUUGUAUAUUGGGCAGGUAAGAAAGCUUCAUCAUUAAAUUGUCUUUAAUAUGCUUCGCUUUUACCUUCUGCCUUAAAUUUUCAUAUUAGCCACUUUCUCUUUUCUGUGCUGUGUAGCUUUGGGCAAGGUUAUUUCAUUGAUCCUGGUCCUUUCCAAUGUUAAUAUUUUAUUGAUAUAGACCAUAGGAACUGCUCUUAAAUUUGUGUUGAACAACCUAAAAUUGCAGCAUUUUAUAUUUGAAUACCACAUCAAGAGUUUGCAAGGUACUUUAACAUCAUAUUUAAUUAAACUUCACUGCAAUACAAUAUGUUGUCCAGAAUAUGUAUUUUUUAAGCCUCCUUCUUUAAUAGUCAUACUUCAUGUGUCAUACGUAUAUAUCACAGACACAUCACUAUAAGCAACAUGCCCCAACUUAUGCUUUGUGUUUUGUUUUAGGAUUUCCUUUUCAAUAUAACUUUUUUAAAAAUUUUUUUUAUUUUUAGGGCUGCAGCUAUGGCAUAUGGAAGUUCCCAGGCUAGGGGUUGAAUUGGAGCUGCAGCUGCCAGCCUAUAUCACAGCCACACCAAUGUCAAAUUCAAGCCAAGAUCCUUAACCCACUGAGCAAGGCCAAGGAUCUAACCCACCUUCUCAUGGAUACUAGUUGGCUUCAUAACCUGGUGAGCCACAACAGGAACUCCUUUUAUCAAUACGAUUUUUAAAAAAAAUAAAAACCUUCCUCCUACUUAUAUUACAAAAAAUAAGACCACUUAGUGAUGCAGAAAUCUUUCUCUCUUUCUUUCUUUCUUUCUUUCUUUCUUUUUGAUUUCUAUAAUGAUGUAAAGCACUGAUUGGGCCAGUUAUCACAUGGAAUAUGAAUAUGAAUAAGAUGAAAUUCUUGACUUCAAUGAAAUUAAAGUCUUUUGUUUUCCUUACCAAAUCCUUCUUUGCCAGCACUCUCACUCAACAAUUUCAGUUUAAAAAAAAAAAAAAAGGCACUUAUUUUAAAACCUGGGGAGGCAAGCUGGAGCCAGGACAGACUUUAUACUUGUUGGAACUGUUCUGACCAUGCUUAGAUGUACAACAUUCUUUUUCAUUUGGUUGCCUUUAUAAUGCAAAGGGCAGAGGCAAAUGAUUCAGAGCACAAUCGGCGCCAUCCAGAGUAUUGAAACACUCCUCUUAAUGACAAUGCCAAGUUACUCUGUUCGUGAAACACUUGAAAAAUGAGAACAGCGAGCCUUCAAGAGAGAACAGAGUUGGCUCCAAUGCUUUCAUUACCAAAAGAAGAUGUUAAAAUGCAUAGAAAUGUUAAAUCUCUACUAAAAAAA